rnacentral:misc_RNA from 1 species
GAAGUAAAGUCGUAAAGGUUUCCGUAGGUGAACCUGCGGAAGGAUCAUUAAUAAUGGUCUACGUUUUUUUAAGUAGACGCUUAAUAAUCCUACCCUUUGUGAAUUUGUUGUUUGAAAUAAUUUUUUUUUAAAUUAUUGAUUGUCUUUCCCUGUUGAAUUGGUUGUCUUAAUGGCAAAUGAUUCGCAGGGAGUGUCAGUAAUUUUUAAAAGACCUUUUUAAAAUUAAACUUUUUGUAUUCAUUUGUCUAAAUUAUUUUUAUAAUAUAAACAACUUUUGACAAUGGAUCUCUUGGUUCUCGCAACGAUGAAGAACGCAGCAAAUGCGAUAAGUAGUGUGAAUUGCAGAAUACGUGAAUCAUCGAAUCUUCGAACGCAUAUUGCACUUUUUUAGUUUACUAAAAAGUAUGUCUGUUGAGUAUCAGUAAAAUAUUCUCAUAAAACUUUUUGUUUUAUGUUAUGAGUGUUUUACAACGAUACAAGUUGUUUCACUUUAAAUUUUUUAAAUUUGAAUUUUCUAAUUUUAAAAUAAAAUUGGAUAAAUUUUCCCGUAAAAAGGAAUAACCUAAACAAUUUUAAUUUUUGAUUAGAAUCUUCAAUUAUAAGGAAAAUUUAACUAAUAACUUGAUCUCAAAUCAGAUAAGAGUACCGCUGAACUUAAGCAUAUCAAUAAGCGGAGGAAAGAAACUAACAAGGAUCCUUAGUAACGGCGAGUGAAGCGGAAGAGCUCAAAUUUGAAAUCUUCAAGGUUUUACCUUGACGAAUUGUAGUUUAAAGAGUGUUUUCUGUUGAAGUUUUGGUAAAGUUCUUUGGAAUAGGACAUCAUAGAGGGUGAGAAUCCGUAUUUGACAUUAUUUUCAGCUGUGUGAUACUUUCAAGAGUCGGAUUGUUUGGGAAUGCAGUCCAAAAUGGGUGGUAAUUUCAUCUAAAGCUAAUAUUGCGAGAGACGAUAGCGAACAAGUACCGUGAGGGAAAGAUGAAAGAACUUUGAAAGAGAGUUAGACAGUACGUGAAAUUGUCAAAGGAAGCGUUUGACACCAGUGUUGUUUUCUCGAAAUAAUUAAAAAAGUUGGAUUUUGUGUUGUAUUGACCUUAACAGCUUGCUUCACUCUUUCUUGCUUUUUAAUGCACUUUUCGUUUAACAAGUCAACAUCAGUUUCUUUUGUUGUAAAAGGUCAUUGGAAGUGGCUUUCUCUUCGGAGAAAGUGUUAUAGCCUUUAUCUCUGCAAUCGGAGAGACUGAGUCUGCAGCGUAAUCCUUCGGGUUAGAUACAUUUGUGCUAAGCUACAGCUUUCAUAGACAACUUGUUGACUAUGUUUAUCUGUAAUACCCGCUUAUGCUAUUUACCUACGCUUAGAUGUGAG